rnacentral:rRNA from 1 species
CCUACGGGAGGCAGCAGUGAGGAAUAUUGGUCAAUGGCCGUAAGGCUGAACCAGCCAAGUCGCGUGAAGGAAGCAGGAUCUAUGGUUUGUAAACUUCUUUUAUAGGGGAAUAAAGGUAUCCACGUGUGGAUAUUUGCAUGUCCCCUAUGAAUAAGCAUCGGCUAACUCCGUGCCAGCAGCCGCGGUAAUACGGAGGAUGCGAGCGUUAUCCGGAUUUAUGGGGUGUAAAGGGUGCGUAGGUUGUGUUUUAAGUCAGCGGUGAAAGUUUGUGGCUCAACCAUAAAAUUGCCGUUGAAACUGGAAGACUUGAGUGUGUUUGAGGUAGGCGGAAUGCGUGGUGUAGCGGUGAAAUGCAUAGAUAUCAGGAAGAACACCGAUUGCGAAGGCAGCUUACUAGGCCAUAACUGACGCUGAGGCACGAAAGCGUGGGGAGCAAACAGGAUUAGAUACCCGAGUAGUC